ensembl:snoRNA SNORA72 Small nucleolar RNA SNORA72
AUGCGAAUAUUCUCACUGCCCUGAUUUUGUGAUAAUCAGGGUAGGCUAAACAUUCGCUAUAGUAAAAAACAUGUAUGUGUCCCCAGACCUAAUUUUUUUCCCUAGGGCUGGUUUUUAAAAUGCUGGUGAUAAAC